AUAUUUACCUGGCAAGGGAGAUGCCAUGAUCACAAAGGUGGUUUUCCCAGGGUGAGGGUCAUCCAUUGCACUCCGGAUGUGCUGACCCCUGCGAUUUCCUCAAAUGUGAGAAACUUGACUGCAUAGUUUGUGGUAGUGGGGUACUGCGUUCGCACUUUCCCCUG
ensembl:snRNA U1 U1 spliceosomal RNA